CGUAGUGACGGUAACAUGUUUGUAAAAGAAUCAGUUUACCACAAUACAGCAAUAAGCUCCAGAGCUCUACAACAGCACGUCUUCUCUCUAUUGCAAACCUGCAACGACAUUAAAGGCCUCACCCAAAUUCAUACACAAAUAGUUAUAAACAAAUUUUACCAGAAAAACUUCAUCCUUGUAAAGCUUUUGUCUCUGUACAUAACAUCUAGUAGUCUCCUGAAUGCCCACAAAGUUUUUGAAAAUGUCGAGAACCCUAGUACUACUUUAUGGAAUCAAAUGAUUAGAGGCUAUGCUAGGAGUAAAACGCCUCAAAAAUCAGUUGAAUUGUACAAGCAAAUGGUUACAGAAAAAGAGGCUGAGCCUGAUGAGUACACGUAUUCGUUUCUGUUAAGCGCUUGUGGGAAGAAUAAUUUGUUUAGAGAGGGGGAACAGGUUCAUGGGAGAGUGUUGGCAAAUGGGUAUUGCUCAAACGUGUAUGUUAAGACGAAUUUGGUGAAUCUGUAUGCGAUGAAUGGAGGGGAUGCGGGCCUUUUGCACGCACGCAACAUGUUCGAUGAAAUGUCCGAGAGAAACGUUGUAACCUGGAAUUCGUUGCUUAAGGCGUAUCUAAAGUGCGGAUGUGUCGAUGAGGCACGGAGACUGUUUGAUGAGAUGCCACAGAGGAAUGUUGUUUCAUGGACGACUAUGAUUUCGGGGUGUGCUCGUAAUGGUUUGUGUAAGCAAGCUUUGUCUUUGUUUAAUGAGAUGAGGAGAGCCCGCGUGCGACCGGACCAGGUGGCAUUGAUUGCAGCAUUAUCGGCUUGUGCUGAAUUGGGGGACUUGAAGUUGGGAAGGUGGAUACAUGUUUAUGUUGAGGAAAAUUUUUGUGUUGGAAGAGAGAUACUGAAAGUUUCAUUGAACAAUGCACUAAUACAUAUGUAUUGUAGUUGUGGUGAGAUUAAAGAAGCGUAUGAAGUGUUUAGAAAGAUGCGGCAGAGAAGUACUGUUUCAUGGACUAGCAUGAUAAUGGGAUUUUCGAAGCAGGGUUAUGCUGAAGAAGCUCUUGUUUUAUUUGAAUGUAUGCAAAAUUUGGAAGCAAGGCCUGAUGAGAUAACCAUGCUUGGGGUUUUGUGUGCUUGUAGCCAUGCUGGCUUUGUCAAUGAGGGACGUCAAUUUUUUGAGUGGAUGACUCAAAGAUUGGGGAUUCAGCCAACGAUUGAGCAUUAUGGGUGCAUGAUUGAUCUCUUGAGCCGAGCAGGGUUGUUGGAGGAAGCAUCUAGUCUUAUUCAUAGUAUGCCUAUGAAACCAAAUGAUGCUGUGCUGGGUGCUCUCCUUGGGGGCUGCAGAAUUCAUUGCAAUGCUGAGCUUGCCUCUGAUUUUGCGCAGAAACUGGUCGGUGAGCUUGACCAUGACCAUGCUGCAGGUUAUCUAGUACUCUUGGCUAAUGUUUAUGCCUCUGCUAAAAGGUGGUAUGAUGUAGCCGCUGUUAGACAGAAAAUGAUUAAGAUGGGCGUGAGAAAGCCUCCUGGUCGAAGUCGUGUGCUAAUAAAUGGAGUUGGCCAUGAUUUUGUCGCAGGUGAUUCAACCCAUAAGCACACUUCCUUAAUAUACAAGACACUCGGUGAGAUCACCAGUCAAACUAUGUGGGAAGGCUACAACCCGGAUGCAUCAGAGUUAUUUUCAGCUGUUGAAGAAUAGUGCAGUCAGCAAAAGAAUUUGGUUGAUGUUACCAUCCCUGUUCUGAGUAAGGAGCAGGCAAGUCCUUGGAUUGUCUGAGCGAGUGAGCUAAUAUCUUUUGCAUUCUAUCAUUUGAUAUAGCAAGAGGUGUAUGGUUCAGUUUACUGUCACACCCCAAAAAUCGAAGGCGGAUUGGUGCACUAGGCUCAAGCAGAAGCGUUGGAGCAACAUGUAUGGGCAUGUCAGGACAGUGUGUGAAACUUUGGCAUCACGGGUUUGCAAGUGAGCCAAGUGUUGUGAGGAAAUACUUAAAAUCUUGUUUGAGGCGUUCAACAUCAACGGAAGCUGAACAGAGACUGUGUUGGUCACUCAGUGUAUGGGCGCUGAACAACACAUGAGAUAAUCUGGCAACGAACCUUGUGAAUGGCAAGGUAAGCAACGAAUCCGUUUUUAGGACAGGAGGUCGAGUGCUUUCUAAGUUUUGUAGUAUUUUGCUUCCUUCAACCUUAGAGGCAUUGAUAUGUGCACUAGAUUGGAUUAGGGAAAGCGACUUGUAACAUGAUGGGUUAAAAUUGGACAAAGCUUUUCAAGUUUGGUUUACCUCUUUGUUUAAUUUUUUUUAACAAUAUUGUCUCUAAUAAUUUUCACUAGGCAUUUGUAUUUCUCUUCUUUUAUUUCAGAUAUAGCCUUGAUUAGGUCUUAUUAUCAAGUUUCCAGGAGGCAUACAUGAUUAUUUCAUUACUGUUUUAAUGUAUUUUCUGCUCCUGAGUUAUUAAAACUUCUUGAUUUUCU